rnacentral:rRNA from 1 species
AUACGGAGGGUGCAAGCGUUAAUCGGAAUUACUGGGCGUAAAGCGAGUGCAGGCGGCUGCGUAAGUCGGAUGUGAAAGCCCCGGGCUCAACCUGGGAAUUGCAUUCGAAACUGCGCGGCUAGAGUCUGGUAGAGGGAAGUGGAAUUCCAGGUGUAGCGGUGAAAUGCGUAGAGAUCUGGAGGAACAUCAGUGGCGAAGGCGGCUUCCUGGACAGACACUGACGCUGAGGCGCGAAAGCUAGGGGAGCAAACGGGAUUAGAUACCCCAGUAGUCC